rnacentral:rRNA from 1 species
CACGGGGGGAGCAAGCGUUGUUCGGAAUUACUGGGCGUAAAGGGCUCGUAGGCGGCCAACUAAGUCAGACGUGAAAUCCCUCGGCUUAACCGGGGAACUGCGUCUGAUACUGGAUGGCUUGAGUUUGGGAGAGGGAUGCGGAAUUCCAGGUGUAGCGGUGAAAUGCGUAGAUAUCUGGAGGAAUACCGGUGGCGAAGGCGGCAUCCUGGACCGAGAUUGACACUGAUGAGCGAAAGCCAGGGGAGCAAACGGG